rnacentral:rRNA from 1 species
UACAGAGGUCCCAAGCGUUGUUCGGACUCAUUGGGCGUAAAGGGUGCGUAGGCGGCGCGGUAAGUCGGGUGUGAAAUCUCGGAGCUUAACUCCGAAACUGCAUUCGAUACUGCCGUGCUUGAGGACUGGAGAGGAGACUGGAAUUUACGGUGUAGCGGUGAAAUGCGUAGAUAUCGUAAGGAAGACCAGUGGCGAAGGCGGGUCUCUGGACAGUUCCUGACGCUGAGGCACGAAGGCCAGGGGAGCAAACGGG